rnacentral:lncRNA from 1 species
AGGAGGAGAAUGAUGUAGAAGAUGAAGUGGUUGACAAGGGGAAGGACGAACAGACAGCCAAGGAAGUAGAAACAGAGUACAUAAAAGAAUUAGAGAUGUUUGAUGGAGAGGCUCCGAAGAGGCAGAAAUAUAAGGCCUGCAAUGACCCUCAAUCUGAGGAUGGGGGCAAACUAGCGGAAAACGUCACACAGGAGACUGCUGUAGAAGUUGAAAUGGAGAACAAGGAGGACGAGAUGGGGGCUAUUAAGGGAACUGCAGACCAUAAAAAAGAAAAGGAAAUGUCUGAUAGAGAGGUUUCAGAGAGAAAAAUUGAGGCCAGCAAUGACCCUCAAUCUGAGGAUGGGGGCAAACUGACGGAAAAUGUCGCGCGCGAGACUGCUGCAGAGGUUGAAAUGGAGAACACGGAGCACGAGAUGGGGGCUAAUAAGGAAGCUGCAGACCACAAAAAAGGAGAGGAAAUGUCUGAUAGAGAGGUUUCAGAGAGGAAAAUUGAGGCCAGCAAUGAAACUCAGUCUCAGGUUGAGGAUGGAGGUGAAAUGGCUGAAAAUGGUAGAGGGGUGACGAUCGCAAUUGAUGCCAACAUCUGGAAUGAUUCGAUGGGACAGGACUAUUUCAUGGGAAUGUUUCCAGAUGCUGUAAUUGAAGAAACAAAUGUUGCUGAAGCAGGAGCAGAAGUUGGG